rnacentral:rRNA from 1 species
CCUACGGGGGGCAGCAGUGAGGAAUAUUGGUCAAUGGACGAGAGUCUGAACCAGCCAAGUAGCGUGAAGGAUGACUGCCCUAUGGGUUGUAAACUUCUUUUAUAUGGGAAUAAAAUGUUCCACGUGUGGGAUUUUGUAUGUACCAUAUGAAUAAGGAUCGGCUAACUCCGUGCCAGCAGCCGCGGUAAUACGGAGGAUCCGAGCGUUAUCCGGAUUUAUUGGGUUUAAAGGGAGCGUAGGUGGAUUGUUAAGUCAGUUGUGAAAGUUUGCGGCUCAACCGUAAAAUUGCAGUUGAUAAUGGCAGUCUUGAGUACAGUAGAGGUGGGCGGAAUUCGUGGUGUAGCGGUGAAAUGCUUAGAUAUCACGAAGAACUCCGAUUGCGAAGGCAGUUCACUGGACUGCAACUGACACUGAGGCUCGAAAGUGUGGGUAUCAAACAGGAUUAGAUACCCGGGUAGUC